rnacentral:ncRNA from 2 species
CUGGACGACACGGGGUGCCCCGCCGGGGCUGAGAUCACACCCGCCGAACCUGAACGAGUUCGCACUCGCGGAGGGAUGUCAUGGAUGAGCGUC